rnacentral:rRNA from 1 species
GACAGAGGGUGCAAACGUUGCUCGGAAUCACUGGGCGUAAAGGGCGCGUAGGCGGCCCGCUAAGUCGAACGUGAAAUCCCCGAGCUCAACUCGGGAACUGCGUCCGAUACUGGCGGGCUUGAAUCCGGGAGAGGGAUGCGGAAUUCCAGGUGUAGCGGUGAAAUGCGUAGAUAUCUGGAGGAACACCGGUGGCGAAGGCGGCAUCCUGGACCGGCAUUGACGCUGAGGCGCGAAAGCUAGGGGAGCAAACGGG